GCNNNNGNCAGGCCUACACAUGCAGUCGAGCGGAUGAAGAGAGCUUGCUCUCUGAUUCAGCGGCGGACGGGUGAGUAAUGCCUAGGAAUCUGCCUGAUAGUGGGGGACAACGUUUCGAAAGGAACGCUAAUACCGCAUACGUCCUACGGGAGAAAGCAGGGGACCUUCGGGCCUUGCGCUAUCAGAUGAGCCUAGGUCGGAUUAGCUAGUUGGUGAGGUAACGGCUCACCAAGGCGACGAUCCGUAACUGGUCUGAGAGGAUGAUCAGUCACACUGGAACUGAGACACGGUCCAGACUCCUACGGGAGGCAGCAGUGGGGAAUAUUGGACAAUGGGCGAAAGCCUGAUCCAGCCAUGCCGCGUGUGUGAAGAAGGUCUUCGGAUUGUAAAGCACUUUAAGUUGGGAGGAAGGGCAUUAACCUAAUACGUUAGUGUUUUGACGUUACCGACAGAAUAAGCACCGGCUAACUUCGUGCCAGCAGCCGCGGUAAUACGAAGGGUGCAAGCGUUAAUCGGAAUUACUGGGCGUAAAGCGCGCGUAGGUGGUUUGUUAAGUUGAAUGUGAAAGCCCCGGGCUCAACCUGGGAACUGCAUCCAAAACUGGCAAGCUAGAGUAUGGCAGAGGGUGGUGGAAUUUCCUGUGUAGCGGUGAAAUGCGUACAUAUAGGAAGGAACACCAGUGGCGAAGGCGACCACCUGGGCUAAUACUGACACUGAGGUGCGAAAGCGUGGGGAGCAAACAAGAUUAUAUACCCUGGUAGUCCACACCGUAAACGAUGUCUACUAGCCGUUGGGAUCCUUGAGAUCUUAGUGGCGCAUCUAACGCAUUAAGUCGACCGGCUGGGGAGUACGGCCGCAAGGUUAAAACUCAAAGGAAAUUGACCGAAA
rnacentral:rRNA from 2 species